AUCCAGCUGACGAGUCCCAAAUGGGACGAAUUGCGCGUCUUGAAU
rfam:Schistosoma mattheei strain Denwood, Zambia genome assembly, scaffold: SMTD_scaffold0020744